GACGAACGCUGGCGGCGCGCCUAAUACAUGCAAGUCGAGCGGAUGGAAGGAAGCUUGCUUCCUAAAGUCAGCGGCGGACGGGUGAGUAACACGUGGGCAACCUGCCCCUAAGAUCGGGAUAACUUCGGGAAACCGGAGCUAAUACCGGAUAUGAUUAUGUCUCACAUGAGACAUAAUGGAAAGACGGUUUCGGCUGUCACUUAGGGAUGGGCCCGCGGCGCAUUAGCUAGUUGGUGAGGUAACGGCUCACCAAGGCGACGAUGCGUAGCCGACCUGAGAGGGUGGUCGGCCACACUGGGACUGAGACACGGCCCAGACUCCUACGGGAGGCAGCAGUAGGGAAUCUUCCGCAAUGGACGAAAGUCUGACGGAGCAACGCCGCGUGAGUGAAGAAGGUCUUCGGAUCGUAAAACUCUGUUGUUAGGGAAGAACAAGUACCAUAGUAACUGAUGGUACCUUGACGGUACCUAACCAGAAAGCCACGGCUAACUACGUGCCAGCCGCCGCCGUAA
rnacentral:rRNA from 1 species